UGCCAUUAUGGUCGAUUUGAUGUUUAGGAA
rnacentral:piRNA from 1 species